AUGGGGUCUUCUUCUCCAUCCAUAGGUCUCCGGGCGGCCGUGACGCUGGUGGAGACCGGAGGUGACCUCCAGAGCCCUGGUGGGUCCCUGACGCUCGUCUGCAAGGCCUCGGGCUUCACCCUCAGCAGCUACGGCAUGGGAUGGGCGCGACAAGCACCAGGGCAGGGGCUCGAGUUCGUCGCAAGCAUUUACAGUGGUGGUGGCACCUAUUAAUGUCAAUGCUGGUACCACCGGAUACGCGGCAUCGGUGCAGGGUCGCUUCACCAUCUCCAGGGACAACUCCCAGAGCACGGUCACGCUGCAGAUGAGCAGCCUCACGACUGACGACACGGCCACCUACUACUGCGCGAAGGAUGCUGGUCUCCGGGCGGCCGUGACGCUGGUGGAGACCGGAGGUGACCUCCAGAGCCCUGGUGGGUCCCUGACGCUCGUCUGCAAGGCCUCGGGCUUCACCCUCAGCAGCUACGGCAUGGAAUGGGCACGACAAGCACCAGGGCAGGGGCUCGAGUUCGUCGCAGGCAUUAGCUACAAUGGUGCUUACACCAGGUACGUGCCAUCGGUGAAGGGUCACCCCAAACCUCAACCAUUUCUACCCAGAUUUGGGGCAGAAAUGGUCGAAGUUCAGGGCAAAGGCUCAAGAUAUGAGGUGAAUUGUUGA